ensembl:lncRNA
GAGGAGGAGGGGGAGGAGGGAGGCCGCCCGCCGCCCCCGCCCUCCCUGCGCGCUCCUCGGCGGCGGCCCCAUGUCCCCGGGCCCGAAGCCCCGCGGCGGGCGGCCCCCCCCGCGCGUAGCCGAGGUGGGGCGCCUCGUGUCCCCGCCCCGCGCCGCCGCGCUCCCCCGCGCCCGCCGAGGACAUGGUACGUUCCAGUGGCCCCGCGCUCAGCCCCGCCGGGGGGGCUUCGGCGGCGGCGGGGAGGACGCGGCGGCGGCGGCGGUGGCGGACGAGGGUCCGGGGCUGGGGCUGGCGAGCCGGGGCCGAGGGCGCAGCAGCGAGCCGAGAGCCACCCCCCCGCCGCCCCGGGCCACGGCCACGGCCGGCAGCAGCAGCGGCGGCGGCGGCCUCGCCCCUCGCUGGCACCCGGCGGGCCCCCCGCGGGCUGGCAUGACUCUGUUCGGCAGCGAAGAAGCGUGUCGGAGAUCAGUAACUGUGACCUGAACUAUGAGCUGUAUCGGGAAGACUUCCCCUACAGGGUAUAUGAGUAUCAGAGGAUCCCCCCACUUAUCAACCGAGCACCUGUCAAGAGCAGACGGACCCACAUGGGUGCAGGAGGCAAGAGCGGCCUCAGUCCCCACAUCCCUCCACGAAGCAACAACCCACCCCCCAUCCGGACAAAGUUAAGAGCUGAGGAGCUGCACUCGAUCAAGGGGGAGCUGAGCCAGAUCAAGGUCCAGGUGGACAGUCUGCUCGAGAGCCUGGAGCGUAUGGACCAGCGGCGAGACAGACUGGGAGGGCCCCAAGAAGGUGAGAAGAAGGCAACCUCAGCCAGUGGGGAGUCCUCCGGUGCAGCGGCUGAGGCCCAGCGAGAGCCCCGGGGCAAAGAGAGCCCGGAGCCCCGAGCCCGCAGCCGCAGGGAUGCCGACAGUGCGGAGGAGAGCACAGACACGGAGGAGGCGGGGAGGAUGAAAAAUCACACCUCGGACCCUGAUGGGAGUCAGUAGAAGCUCUGGGGCCCCUGCUGUGGCCUCCCCAGCUCGGAUCCUUUCCUUUUCCUGUGUUUGUAUUUCUUUGAGGCCCCCCAGCCAGUGCCACGUGUCUCCUGCCCUCCAGUCUCCCUACUGUUACAGUAGAGCCUCGUCUGCUCCUGCCCACGGGAGCCUGCGGGGUGUCCUGUGUCCUCUACAGAAGCCAGGCAGAAGUCCCUGAGGUGCAGGCCUGCAGUAUGGGUCUGGGGAGGCAGGAAAAUCCAGCACGUCUAGAAUUUCCUUUUGAAUACCAACCCUCCUUUCCUCUGUGUUGUUCCCCCCCAUCCCAUGAAAAAGGGGUUCCCUUGGUAGUAAGACUUGGCAGGACAGGGGCAUUUGGGGAAGAGUCUGGGCAGACCCCACAAUUCCAAAUUCUUCCUUCUCUUCCCUCACGAAGAUGCUUAGUGAUGAUUUUCAGUUCCCCACCCCUCUUGGGUACCCUCAUCAUCUCUCCUUGGGGUAGAACUGGUGCCAUCCUGCCCCUUGAUCUCUCUGACAUAGCUUGUAACAGUAUCGGCCCCAGCAGAACGUGGUUCAUCUAAGACACCACCCAGGUUCUGGUCCCCACCUGAGCCCCCAGUGUUCCUUCUGGGGCUCCCUCAGCCGGCCUUCCUCCCAGCAGCGUGAGGAGAGGGGAUUGGUGUCCCUGAGAAGGCCAGCCAAGCCAAAUGUUGGACAGCUCCCGUGGCUCACCAAGGUUUCCCCUUUUCCCGGGAUCACGUGGCUUCAAUGGUUUGCACUACUAGCCUUCGUGUGGCCCCUUUCUCUCCUCCCGGUCCCCACAGAAUUCCGUACCCGCAGUGGUGCAUGGGAAAUGAGUUCUGUUUCUGACAGGUGCAUUUCUGCUCCGCAGAAGAUACAGCCAGGUCCUUGGUUGACGUUGCCCUGAUUCACCCUGUUAUUUCCCUGCCUUCCCUCCCUUUCCCUCCAUGCUGUCCUUUCAGAACAGGUGUAGUUCAUUCUCACGUCCAGUUUC